rnacentral:lncRNA from 1 species
GUGGGGGUGACCAGGAAAAGAGGGCAAAGCAAACAAGCCUCUGUCUCUCAGUUUCAUUAAAUGUCCAGAUGGAGUGGCAUAGGCAUGGGUGAGUGGUAGGUCUUGUAGGGAGGACCUGAGCCGUAGGAACAUGGCCAGGCACUGACAGCAUCACUCGUCGCCUUGUUGAAGGAGCAGAAGGUGGAUUUCUUGGAAUGAGGGACGGUUCUUCGUAUCUCUUCUCCAGCAGCUGAGCAUCAGCUUAUACACAGAGUCAGGACAAAUGGCUGGUUGAGGGAGGUAAGUCUGCCUCCCUUGGUCUCGGAAGAACUCUCCAGUAUUCUCAAUAACCUGUUCAUCUGACAGCUGGGAAUAGGGCUG